UGUAAAAUUUUAAAGGUCGAACAGACCUAAUAUUUUAGCUUCUACACCAAAAAUUUAUUUUAAUCCAACAUCGAGGUCGCAAUCUCUUUUUUUAAUACGAACUCUAAAAAAAAUUACGCUGUUAUCCCUAAGGUAAUUUUAUCUUAUAAUCAAAAAUAUUGGRUCAUUCACCCAUAAAUUUAUGUUUUUAAAUAAAAAAAGUUAUUCUAAUUUUUCAAUCACCCCAAUUAAAUUAUUUAAUAUAAUUAAUAAAUAAAUACUAAAAUAUUAUUUUUAUUAGAUAAUUAAACUCUAUAGGGUCUUCUCGUCUUUUUAACUUUUUUAAGCUUUUUAACUUAAAA
rnacentral:rRNA from 1 species